AUUGAACGCUGGCGGCAUGCCUUACACAUGCAAGUCGAACGGCAGCACGGGUGCUUGCACCUGGUGGCGAGUGGCGAACGGGUGAGUAAUACAUCGGAACAUGUCCUGUAGUGGGGGAUAGCCCGGCGAAAGUCGGAUUAAUACCGCAUACGAUCUACGGAUGAAAGCGGGGGACCUUCGGGCCUCGCGCUAUAGGGUUGGCCGAUGGCUGAUUAGCUAGUUGGUGGGGUAAAGGCCUACCAAGGCGACGAUCAGUAGCUGGUCUGAGAGGACGACCAGCCACACUGGGACUGAGACACGGCCCAGACUCCUACGGGAGGCAGCAGCGGGGAAUUUUGGACAAUGGGCGAAAGCCUGAUCCAGCAAUGCCGCGUGUGUGAAGAAGGCCUUCGGGUUGUAAAGCACUUUUGUCCGGAAAGAAAUCCUUGGCCCUAAUACGGUCGGGGGAUGACGGUACCGGAAGAAUAAGCACCGGCUAACUACGUG
rnacentral:rRNA from 1 species